rnacentral:lncRNA from 1 species
AAAAAGAAUAUAUCUACAAGAUCUCUCUCAAUCUCUCACGCAUCUCUCUCUCUCUCUCUCUCCAGUGAGAGAAAACUCUAGCGUAUGUAUCUCUCUCCCACAACCCAACUCUCCCAAUCUCUCACGUAUCUCCUUUUGAAAACAGAUUUUCUGUAUCUUUCUUAAACUCUGACACAAAAAAUCUCGCCAACUACAUCGGUAUUUUACAUGGAUUGUCCAGCGGUUCCUCUCAAUGUGGUCCUAAACUUGCGAGCUCCAUUGAUAGUGAAUUGAAGAUCGGUUAUCCAUCGACGAACGGCACAUGGCCAGAUACAAGGAAAGAACGGCUACAUGGUUGUAGAUUUCUCAGGUAGUCGGGCCCUCAUGUGAUUUUACUAGAAACAAAUCCAUCUAUGAGGUAUGAUCAAACUUGACAUGUCUAGAUCUUCCUUUUUCAUCUCUCAAUAUAUUUGGAUGAUCAUGUCAAUGGUCAUUGCAGUGGACAUGAUUUGGUUUCUUUAUUAAUAUGAUAUGAUUAAUUCCAUCCAUGGAAAUUUAUGCCGUGAUGUUAAGCGUGCAACGUGUGCAUGUCCUUUCUAUUCCCCACUUAUGUGCCUCAUCCUUAAAAUUUAGAUAUGCUUCCUCUCUACGUCCAAAGGAAAAAAAUCCAUGAUUGAUUCAGGAGUCCAGCUUCUCCCAGUCCCAGAACCCUGCCAUAUGAUGGAGGAACUUCCCCAUCCACCACUCUGAUGUCGACAGAAUAAAAAUCCGUCUACGUUACUCCUCCCAGCAAACAAAAUAUAUAAGUCUUUGUAGUAUGCUCAUAUCUUUUGACCUGCACGCUAUGUGUAUGUGUGAUGUUCAACUCUAAGUGUGUAAAGAAAUGUAAUAGACAGUUUUAAACCAGACCAUGCUAUGCAUAUGAUGCAUUAUCCUUCAACGCCGAGGGGUCGGCCAUGCCCAGGUUGUCAAGUAGCACAUAUAGUUUCUCCUAUGUUGGUUGUUUCGAGCGCAUUAUUAAUAUCUCACCCCUGAAUAAUAUAGGUCAGCAUAUAUGUUCGAUGGGUCGGACAAAGUUUUUACUCUGGCUACCCCGUCAACAAGGAUCAACACACAAUAUGGUGAGUAUCAAUUCUUUAUAGUUGCAUGUUCGUACUUAAUAUUGCAUAGAAAAAUUGCAAUUUUGUGUUUUAGUAAGUCUACUUUGACUAUUAAAUAAGGAAUUUUCUAUGGAUGAUUUUCUCAGAUUGCAAUUGGUUUUAAUAAUGUAGGCCUACCACUAUCAAUAGUUGUAGCAAAUCAAUGAUCACCAAAUAUUCUAUAUUUUUAUUUGCAUUUGAAUUAUGGACUGCUGCAAAGUUUAUGAUUGGACUGACUGAGCGCUCUUAAAGUUCCCCUAUUACUAAGUGAUUUUGGUUUGUUCAUUCAAUAUAACCUUAAAAUGUUUUGCCAGGUAGUAUGUAUGAAGAUAGAAGUUAGUUUGUCACCUAAGGCCAUGAUCGAUGUAGUACAUAUAUUGUAUGAACGACCCAACUUUUCAAUUUACAAUAGAAACCCGUUAUAUGUAAGGUUCAUUGCUAUUCAACAAACACACUUUCGAUGUUGAUGCUUUAUUCAAAUUCCAAACAUAUGAAGUUGUCGGUUUGUUUAAUCAUAACUUAUUGGUUCUAUCAUUCCAGCUCCCAGCCUCUUCUUCCACCUAAAAAAAAUUGUUUCGCAGGUCAAACCCGUGUUCUUGCUCAUUUGGCUGUGAUUUUCGAUCUCCUUGCUCAAAGCACCAUUCUCCGAACUGUUUUGGGGAAAUUAUUCCUUGGAAAGUGACUCCUUCAUUGGUCCACUUAGUUUUUGCUCUAGUGCUUUAUCUUCCGCGUACUCUUGCUACCUUGGUGACCCUGUUCUUGAGCUAGAAAGGUUGAUUUUAGCUGGUCCCAAGUAGUUUUAGCGCGUGAUACGGUCUCUAAGCACUAGUAGGAGUAGUUGCUACAAGGAAUGGUUGGUCUUCAUUCAUUUUUCUCUUGAACUUCAAAAAUUUCAGCAAAAGGGAAUUAUGUUCAGGAGGAAGUUUCAUGGUGGUUCCUCAAGUAAGAAGGGGCCCCGUCUUUCUUUUCGGGAGCCCGAACCUUUUCAACUAAGGGACGCACCGGUGCAACCAUGUGAAUGGC